rnacentral:rRNA from 1 species
AACGAACGCUUGCGGCAGGCUUAACACAUGCAAGUCGAGCGCCCCGCAAGGGGAGCGGCAGACGGGUGAGUAACGCGUGGGAAUCUACCCAUCUCUACGGAAUAACGCAUGGAAACGUGUGCUAAUACCGUAUACGUCCUUCGGGAGAAAGAUUUAUCGGAGAUGGGUGAGCCCGCGUUGGAUUAGCUAGUUGGUGGGGUAAAGGCCUACCAAGGCGACGAUCCAUAGCUGGUCUGAGAGGAUGAUCAGCCACACUGGGACUGAGACACGGCCCAGACUCCUACGGGAGGCAGCAGUGGGGAAUAUUGGACAAUGGGCGCAAGCCUGAUCCAGCCAUGCCGCGUGAGUGAUGAAGGCCCUAGGGUUGUAAAGCUCUUUCACCGGUGAAGAUAAUGACGGUAACCGGAGAAGAAGCCCCGGCUAACUUCGUGCCAGCCGCCGCGGUAACAC